UGUGGGAGCUGGCUUGCCUGCGAUAGCGGUGGGUCAGCUUGCAUUGUCUUGGCUGAUACACCGCAAUCGCAGGCAAGCCAGCUCCCAGA
rnacentral:misc_RNA from 1 species